rnacentral:tRNA from 1 species
GGGGAUUUAGCUCAGAGGUAGAGUGCUUGCCUAGCAAGCGCAAGGCCCUGGGUUCGAUCCCCAGCUCCG